AAUGAACGCUGGCGGCAUGCCUUACACAUGCAAGUCGAACGGCAGCAUGACCUAGCUUGCUAGGUUGAUGGCGAGUGGCGAACGGGUGAGUAAUGCAUCGGAACGUGCCUUUUAGUGGGGGAUAACGUAGCGAAAGUUACGCUAAUACCGCAUAUUCUCUGAGGAGGAAAGCAGGGGACCUUCGGGCCUUGCGCUAGAAGAGCGGCCGAUGUCGGAUUAGCUAGUUGGUGAGGUAAAGGCUCACCAAGGCAACGAUCCGUAGCGGGUCUGAGAGGAUGAUCCGCCACACUGGGACUGAGGCACGGCCCAGACUCCUACGGGAGGCAGCAGUGGGGAAUUUUGGCACAUGGGCGCAAGCCUGAUCCAGCCAUGCCGCGUGAGUGAAGAAGGCCUUCGGGUUGUAAAGCUCUUUCGGCUGGGAAGAAAUCGCACCCUCUAAUACAGGGUGUGGAUGACGGUACCAGCAUAAGAAGCACCGGCUAACUACGUG
rnacentral:rRNA from 1 species